rnacentral:misc_RNA from 1 species
UAUGAUUGAUAAAUUCCUCAACCAUAAAUAUAGUUAACAAAUCGAAAGCACCAAGACAAGGUGUAAAACAAAUGGACUGUUUUUAAAGGCAUAAAAAAAGUGUGAUGGUUCCUAUUAUGUGUUUGAUACUGAACCAAACAAUUGGUCAUAUUAUAAAGAACGGGAUAUGCAGACGUAUGGCAGAUAAAUAGAGGCACCUUUUGUUGAUGUGGAG